rnacentral:lncRNA from 1 species
CUAUAACUAAAGGAGAGAGAAAGAAUACUAAAUGAAAAGUGAUUCUAAUACUCUCCAAUAUGUAUCAUCUGAAAUUUAAAUUCUGAAAAUCUUUAUGAUACACCUUGAGGCGUGUUAUUUGGUUAGUAUAUCUCAUGCAUCACUCUUGAACCAAAUUGCAAAUCUUAAGAGCCUCUAAUUUAAUGAAAAAGGAGGAGAAUAAUGUGUUAAAUUUUUUUGAGUAUCUCUUAGAAAAUCUAUUUUUUUUAAAACUUCACUAAUGAGCUCUAAUUGGCUUGCUUUUUUGGAACUUCAAUUUUGUGCAAAUUCAUUAUUUUAUGUAUCAAAUUGUGCUUAUUUUCUAAAGAAAUAAAAGAAUAAAGUCUUUAAAAGAGCUUUAAAAGAACCUUCAAAGCCUUGAACUUUAUGUAUACUCUAAGAUAUAUUAUAAAUUGCAUGAAUUCAUAUUUUGGUAUUUAUGCCACAAUAUUUUUACACCAUAAAAGCACUUUGCAAUCAUACUUAAUAUAUUGCUCUUAUACUCAGAAAAUUAGUUAAAUUGCUCUCAUGUUGAUAAAGUACUUAAUAGAUUGGGCACAAGAUCUUAAAUGAACAAGCUUUCACACUUAUUAUUGAAGAGAGGUUAAAUUUCCACUUCUUGAAUUAACCUAAGGAAGAUUCCACCUACACUUGAUUAGAAAACUAUCUGUGGUAUCAAAUUAAAAAACCUCUUGAAUUCACACUCGAUGUGUUCUACUCUGAUCUUUGUACUUAAUGUUUCACUAUCUUUUUGAUGUUGUCAAAAAGGGGGAGAAAUAUCUAAGUAUAUGCUAUAUACUCAGAAUGCUUUAUUACUUUGAAUUAAAUACAAAUCAAGCUUAAAAUUUAAAUAUGUUGAUUGUGUUAAGCUGAUUAAAUCUAAAGCAUUA